UCCGAAGGGCCAUCCAGACCAAGGGCAUCAAGUUCGAAGUGGUUCACAAGGGGUGAGCUAGAGAGAGCCAUGGCCACUGGGUGGGCUCCAGGGGAGGGGAGCUCCUCUGAACCAACCAUCCUGUCCCCACUACACACACAUGCACACAGGGGGCUGUUCAAGACUGACCGGGUGCUGGGGACAGCCCAGCUGAAGCUGGAUGCACUGGAGACAGCAUGUGAGGUCCGGGAGAUCCUUGAGGUCCUGGAUGGUCGCCGGCCCACAGGGGGGCGACUGGAGGUAAUGGUCCGGAUUCGGGAGCCACUGACAGCCCAGCAGUUGGAGACGACGACGGAGAGGUGGCUGGUCAUUGACCCUGUGCCGGCAGCUGUGCCCACAGUGAGACCCCCCCACCCCCACCCAUCAGCAACCCCAGGGAGGGAAGCUUGGUUCAGGGGCCCAGGACUCACAGGACUGGUUCUCUCCUCUGAAGCAGGUUGCUGGGCCCAAAGGGAAGGCCCCUCCUGUGCCUGCCCCUGCAAGGGAGUCAGGGAACAGAUCAGCCCGGCCCCUGCAUAGCCUCAGUGUGCUGGCGUUUGACCAAGAGCGUCUGGAGCGGAAGAUCCUGGCCCUCAGGCAGGCGCGGCGGCCGGUGCCCCCAGAAGUGGCCCAGCAGUACCAGGACAUCAUGCAACGCAGCCAGUGGCAGAGGGCACAGCUGGAGCAGGGGGGUGUGGGCAUCCGACGGGAAUACGCAGCCCAGCUGGAGCGGCAGCUGCAGUUCUACACGGAGGCUGCCCGGCGCCUGGGCAACGAUGGCAGCAGGGAUGCUGCAAAGGAGGCACUCUAUAGGCGGAAUCUGGUAGAGAGUGAGCUGCAGCGGCUCCGCAGGUGAGGAGCCCAUGGGGCGGGCAGCCCCCAGAAAGCAGGCAGCAGGCCCUGACACCGGGAAGAGCCAACACAGCCACGGACCAGACAAGCAGACAAUCAGCGGACAAUCGGUUCUGGACUCACCCCUCAUCCAGGCCCCCAGCCCAGCCAGAGCCUCCGUGGCUGCGGGUGUUGGGAACCAUGCCUGCCAGCCAGUAUGUGCCCCUCAUCCAGGCCUGGCUGGGCCCUGGGGAGUCCUGUUUGCACAGCCCAGGGGUGUCCGGCCUCUGGCCCGCCCCGGAGCAGGGAGGGUGGCUGGGACCAAGCCCCGAGGGCCCCUGCAAGCACUUUACUUCCUGUUCCUCCCCAGCCUUAACCCCAAAGCCCUCCUGCACCCCAAAGAAGCCACUGAGGCUGGCCGAGCCCCACUGUCUCCCCAGGGGCGUCGACCUGGCCCAGCUGGGUCCCCAGGGCCAGCACAUGGAAUAAAAUAGCCAGGGCCACACUCAGCCCAGCUCUGUCCUGUCUGUUUCUUGCUCAGACCCUCGGUGGCCAGGCUAGAUCUUCCCACCCACCCCCUGGUUC
rnacentral:lncRNA from 1 species